UAAUUUGGGCACGACAGGCAACGCAAGUAAAGAAGAAAGGCAGACAGGCAACGCAACAAAGACAUAUAGAAUCUACAGUAGAGAACAUUAGUGAUUUGGAGGAUGAUCAAAGCCAUCGUGUGGGGAAGUCGCUUUUACACUCAGUGAAGUGGGAGCGCAUUAUUUUGGAUGAGGCUCACUUUGUCAAAGAUAGGCGAUGUAAUACUGCAAAAGCAGUUCUCGGACUGGAGUCUUCAUACAGAUGGGCUUUAAGUGGAACACCUCUUCAAAAUCGUGUUGGGGAGCUCUACUCUCUUGUAAGUUUCUAUUUUAUACGAGUGGUUAAUUGUUAUUCACCUUCUGUAGUCAAUCACAUUGUCCUGCAAUAAACUUUUCAGGUCCGUUUUCUUCGAAUUGUGCCGUAUUCAUUCUACUUAUGUCAAGAUUGUGAUUGCAGAACACUUGAUUAUAGGUAUGUAAAGUUUCAAUCACAAGAUAAUCGGGUUAUACUUUCCCAUGGGUGGUUUCUGGUAUAACAGGCAAUCUCAGCCUGUAGGACCGUAGUCGUUCAUGUUGACACAAAAUGGUUAGAGGCAACUACACGUGCAAAAAGACCGGUUUAGCGACUUGGUAUACCAAAUAAUGUGGCAAUCUUUGCAUAGAUAUUUAAAGAAGCAGUGCAUGUGGCAUUCUUCGCAAGAAUACUUAGCGUCUCUAUGAAUGGUAAAGUACAAGUUAGCUACAUCCAUUUAAUCUUUGCUGCUCGGUAUUACGGGUUUAAAGUGUCAUAGCCGUGUUCUUCUAGGCAAUACAUCUUUAUUAAUUUUAUCCUCAAGUGAAGGCUGCAACCUCCUAAUCUCAAGUCUCAAUUCAGCCUGCUGCUAAAGUGUUUGUACCUCAGGCUUCAGUUUCCAUCAGUCUUCUGCCAAAACAUUUGUACCUCAGGCUUCGGUCUCAUCUUUCUGACACAUUAAGAUCUGCAGUACUGGGGCUAAGCCUUCAUGAUAGCUUUUUGAUGUGGAUGUGACUUUAUACUUUCAUCUGCACAUUAUUUUUCCUUUGUUUGAAUGUGAUAUGCCUGUGUAUAAGUUAGCGAGACUCUAGGUUAAGAGUGUGACAUGAUUCAGAUCUCAUGUUGCUACGUAGUUCUCACAGGACGUCUUGAUCUUGAUGCAACUAUUGCUGGAAUAUCUCCCACCAUGGUGGAUGUUCCAUUUAGAGAACAAGUCCAUACUUGUAUCUUGCCCUGUGA